rnacentral:misc_RNA from 1 species
GAUGAAGAACGCAGCAAAAUGCGAUAAGUAAUGUGAAUUGCAGAAUUCAGUGAAUCAUCGAAUCUUUGAACGCACAUUGCGCCCGCCAGUAUUCUGGCGGGCAUGCCUGUUCGAGCGUCAUUUCAACCCUCAAGCUCAGCUUGGUGUUGGGACUCGCGGUAACCCGCGUUCCCCAAAUCGAUUGGCGGUCACGUCGAGCUUCCAUAGCGUAGUAAUCAUACACCUCGUUACUGGUAAUCGUCGCGGCCACGCCGUAAAACCCCAACUUCUGAAUGUUGACCUCGGAUCAGGUAGGAAUACCCGCUGAACUUAAGCAUAUCAAUAGCGGAGGA